AAUUCAUGAGUUUGUAUGUCCUCUAUAUCGCCCUGCGAUGAGGUGACAACUUGUCCGGGGUGUACCCUGCCUUCCGCCCAAAUGCAGCUGAGAUAGGCUCCAGCCACCCACGUCACUCCAGAAGGGACAAGCGGUGGGAAAUGGAUGGAUAGAUGUUCUCUAGAUCCAAUAGUAUGUAUUAUUGUGAUUACAUAUGGGCUUACAUAUUCCUACAAACAUUUGAAAUGGGACUUUAAAUACAGGCAAGGACAAGUUUGUUUUUAAAACGGCAGAGGGCGGAAAAUGGAAGAUAAAAAUAGCUAGCUAAAAAUUCAGGGUUAGCUUGCUUCUUAAAUGUAUGUGACAUUUGAAAUCUGUUUAAGCCCCUUUGACAACGCUUUUACAUAUUUUACACUCCAAUGCAGGGAUUUUUAUGAGCUUGUUUUAAAUCUUCGAGAGGGGCGGAUUAGGGUGGGAGAAGAAAAGAAAAGAAAAGAAAAGAAAGAAAGAAAGAAAGAAAGAAAGAAAGAAAGAAAGAAAGAAAGAAAGAAAGAAAGAAAGAAAGAAAGAAAGAAAGAAAGAAAAACCUGCCUCAACAUUCCCAUGGUCGUUCAUGGCGAGGUGACGCGAAGUAAAAGCAAACACAAGUCAGGUAAAACAAAACAUAGCCGUCUUACCUGAGUGAGGUGUACUUUUGAACGUGCAACCGUGCAAAUGGCAAACACCAGCUUGUUGUCCACACAGACUGGCAGCUCCGUCAUUCGUCUCACAUAUCUUUGCGCGAAUGGUCACUUCCUACUCUGGCGGUGGCCGGGUGACGUCAUCAAGACAGGCGGGCAUCGAUGCCAGACGUGCCGCCUCCUCAUCAGCCUGUCAAGGUCGGCAGAGCGACAAAUAAUACUGUCUGCUAAGUCGCUCAUGUGACAUGGCCUCAAAGUGAAUGCCCCAUUUUACUCAACAUGUAAGAAGGGGCGCUGGAAGCCGGCAGACCCGUCAGCGAUCCUGUUCUGUCUCCCUGUAAUGUUUGUCUGAUCUUGAAUGGGAUUGUGCUGAAAAUUGUAAUUUUCCUGAAGGAACUCUCCUGACGGAAUGAAUAAAGUACUAUCUAAUCUAAUCUAAUGUAAUUAAUUCAUUGGUCAUCGGUACAAGUCGCCUAAUUUCCUUACCCAAACCUGUGUUUGUCAUUCAAAGCAUGUUUGUGUAAUGAUCUGUACAAAGUAUUGUCAUGUGAAUAAACAAGGUCAUACAAAAACUAUUACACCAAUUUUUUUUUAUAAAGUUUUUAGAAGGUGUUCAGUGCAGGUCAAUGUAAGGAUCCAUAGCAUUUGGAAUUUAUUUUUUUACUUUAUGUACAACAAUGUUUUCCAUUGCAAGUAAAACAUUUUCU